UUCGUUAUUUCAUAUUUCAUUUUAUUUCAUUAUUUCAUAUUCCAUUCUUAGUACUAUGCUAGUAGUAGCCCCUGUACCAUGACUUGCAUAGGAUUUGUGGACAUUGUCUGUUGUCUGUUGUUGCUGUUGCUGUGGUCGUUUCUUCCACUGCUUUGGAUUGGGUUAUUGGCUGGGAACCUGUAUUUGGGGCUGUGGGUGUGGAGUCCAGUGGUGUUUGCCCCCUAAUUGAGUAUAGUUUUGUUUCGGGAGUAUUCCUUUGAAUUUGUGUGAGCCUUGUAUUUCCUUGCUGCUGCUUUGAUACUACCACCGUG
rnacentral:lncRNA from 1 species